rnacentral:rRNA from 1 species
AAGACCUAUUAAUAGGUAUGCUUAGGGAGGAGCUUGCGUCACAUUAGUUAGUUGGUGGGGUAAAGGCCUACCAAGACUAUGAUGUGUAGCCGGGCUGAGAGGUUGAACGGCCACAUUGGGACUGAGACACGGCCCAAACUCCUACGGGAGGCAGCAGUAGGGAAUUUUCGGCAAUGGAGGAAACUCUGACCGAGCAACGCCGCGUGAACGAUGAAGUAUUUCGGUACGUAAAGUUCUUUUAUUAGGGAAGAAUAAAUGAUGGAAAAAUCAUUCUGACGGUACCUAAUGAAUAAGCCCCGGCUAACUAUGUGCCAGCAGCCGCGGUAAUACAUAGGGGGCAAGCGUUAUCCGGAAUUAUUGGGCGUAAAGGGUGCGUAGGCUGUUAAAUAAGUUUAUGGUCUAAGUGCAAUGCUCAACAUUGUGAUGCUAUAAAAACUGUUUAGCUAGAGUAAGAUAGAGGCAAGUGGAAUUCCAUGUGUAGUGGUAAAAUGCGUAAAUAUAUGGAGGAACACCAGUAGCGAAGGCGGCUUGCUGGGUCUUUACUGACGCUGAGGCACGAAAGCGUGGGGAGCAAACAGGAUUAGAUACCCUGGUAGUCCACGCCGUAAACGAUGAGUACUAAACGUUGGGUAAAACCAGUGUUGAAGUUAACACAUUAAGUACUCCGCCUGAGUAGUACGUACGCAAGUAUGAAACUUAAAGGAAUUGACGGGACUCCGCACAAGCGGUGGAUCAUGUUGUUUAAUUCGAAGGUACCCGAAAAACCUCACCAGGUCUUGACAUGCUUCUGCAAAGCUGUAGAAACACAGUGGAGGUUAUCAGUUGCACAGGUGGUGCAUGGUUGUCGUCAGCUCGUGUCGUGAGAUGUUGGGUUAAGUCCCGCAACGAGCGCAACCCUUAUUGUUAGUUGCCAGCACGUAAUGGUGGGGACUUUAGCAAGACUGCCAGUGAUAAAUUGGAGGAAGGUGGGGACGACGUCAAAUCAUCAUGCCCCUUAUGACCUGGGCUACAAACGUGAUACAAUGGCUGUUACAAAGGGUAGCUGAAACGCAAGUUUUUGGCGAAUCUCAAAAAAACAGUCUCAGUUCGGAUUGAAGUCUGCAACUCGACUUCAUGAAGUUGGAAUCGCUAGUAAUCGCGAAUCAGCAUGUCGCGGUGAAUACGUUCUCGGGGUUUGUACACACCGCCCGUCAAACCACGAAAGUUGGCAAUACCCAAAACCGGUGGCCUAACUUCGCAAGAAGAGGGAACCGUCUAAGGUAGGGUCGAUGAUUGGGGUUAAGUCGUAACAAGGUAUCCCUACCGGAAGGUGGGGAUGGAUCACCUCCUUUCUAAGGAAACAAUUAUCAUCUUCAGUUUUGAGAGACUUAAGAAAGUUUUUCAUUUUAAAUUGUUUGCAAAUUGUAUU